GUGAUAUAAACCAUUAUAUGAUUCUUUAAUAUCAGAACUGUUUUAAACUUGAUAGCCUGUUGAAACUUUAUUUUGUUUUCAAAGUGUAACUUUGAUUGCAGUCAUUAGUUUAAUUUAGAUUUUUGAUGCUUGUAGCUGGUCUGUCACUGAAGUUUCUGACUUCACUGAGGGUAGAGAAUGGGAUUUGAGAAAUUCAAGUUUGAUUUGUGCUUUUUUGCUGUGCUCAGAGUGGUGCCCUCCCUUUAGUAGUCCGUCUCAUUGAACUGCAGAAGGUGGGAAAAGAGUGAACAAGGAAUUGCAGGCAGAGAAGAAGCCUCUUGUUCAGCACUCAGUUACAUUUCAAGUUAAGUAGAACUAUAAUUUGAGUAUAUAAAUAACUGUAAAAUACAUGAUGUUAGGCACAGAAAACUAAUGGACAAUUUUGACAAUUUUGGAUUUACUCCCCUUUUUCUUCUGCUCUAAGAUGGACUUUUAAUACUCAUUCUUCCCUUCAGGAGAUUGUAAAGAUUGGUGCUUGAGAAGGAUUUAGAAGUGACUACAUGAACUUCAGCUUCAUGUACUAGUUCCCUGUGUUCAAGAAACAUGUUCCUCUCUCAAGGCUAACAGUUUCUUUGCUCUGGAAUAAUAAGGACAGGGCUGUGAACAGGGAUACUCAUGCAGGUCUGAGGAAUCACUGCAGUCUGAGUGUGUGUAGGUGGCCUCUACCCAGACAAAAGGCAGAGGAACACGUACAGCCCUGACCCAGCAUCAUGUACAGCCCAACCAAAGGUAAUUUCUCCUAAAUAUGUUACAGAUGAACCUCAGAUAAUGUCUCUGAUUGGUUUUUGGUUUUUUUAAGCUACUGAAAGUAUUAGGAUAAGAGUUAACAUGGAAGAGGAAGAAGGGAAGGAGAAAUGGCUGGCUCUUGCAAUGGGGAACAGAUGAGGCUGCUACUCAGGAUAGCAGGGCAGACACCUGGAGCAUAACCCU
rnacentral:lncRNA from 1 species